AGUGAACGCUGGCGGUAGGCCUAACACAUGCAAGUCGAACGGCAGCACAGUAAGAGCUUGCUCUUACGGGUGGCGAGUGGCGGACGGGUGAGGAAUACAUCGGAAUCUACUUUUUCGUGGGGGAUAACGUAGGGAAACUUACGCUAAUACCGCAUACGACCUACGGGUGAAAGCAGGGGAUCUUCGGACCUUGCGCGAUUGAAUGAGCCGAUGUCGGAUUAGCUAGUUGGCGGGGUAAAGGCGCACCAAGGCGACGAUCCGUAGCUGGUCUGAGAGGAUGAGCAGCCCCACUGGAGCUGAGACACGGUCCGGGCUCCUACGGGAGGCAGCAGUGGGGAGUGUUGGACAAUGGGCGCAAGCCUGAUCCAGCCAUACCGCGUGGGUGAAGAAGGCCUUCGGGUUGUAAAGCCCUUUUGUGGGGAAAGAAAAGCAGCAGGUUAAUACCCCGCUGUUCUGACGGUACCCAAAGAAUAAGCACCGGCUAACUUCGU
rnacentral:rRNA from 1 species